CUAAUAAUGCUCUAAUUAGACCAUAAUAAUGCUAAGCAAGCUUAAUAAAAUUCAAAAAAACCUCAAAGAAAUUUCAAACAAAUAAUAAGAAUUUUUAAAGAAAUAUUAGAAGGAUCACAAAUAUCACUCAAAUACAUCUCAAUUCAAUCUUAAUUUAAUUCUAGUUAAAAUUCUAUAGAACUUCAUUCAAACUUUAAGCCAAAACUACUUGAAUAUUAAAUCUUAAUAAAAUCCUAAACCCUAAAUCAAACCCUAAACAAACCUUAAAUCAAACUCUAACCAAAUCCUAAACCAAAUACUAAUCAAAUCCUAAAACAAAUCUUAAACCCUAAAUCAAACCCUAAUCAAACACUAAUCCAAAUCCUAAAUCCUAAACCAAAUCCUAAUCCAAACUCUAAAUCCUUUAUCAAACCCUAAUCAAAUUCUAAUCCAAAUCUUAAAUCCUAAAUCAAAUCCUAAUCUAAAUCUUAAACCCUAAAUCAAACCUUAACCAAACCCUAAAUCCUAAAUAAAUCCUAACCAAAUCCUAAACCCUAAAUAAAACCUAAAUAAAUCCUAACCAUAUUCUAAACCCUAAAUAAAACCUAAGUAAAUCAUAACCAAACCCUAAAUCCUAAAUAAAUCCUAAAUAAAUCCUAACAAAAUCCUAAUCCAAAUCCUAAAUUCUAAACCAAACCUUAACCAAAUUCUAAACCCUAAAUCAAAUCCUAACCAAACUCUAAGAAAACCCUAAUCAAAACCUAACCAAAUUCUAAACCCUAAAUCAAAUCCUAAAUAAA
rnacentral:lncRNA from 1 species